CAGCAUGAAGUUUGCUUGCAAACUUUGAUGGCGACCGGCGGAUGGGUGAGUAACGCGUAUCCAACCUGCCCCCUUCCCGGGCACAGCCCUUGGAAACGAGGAUUAACUCCCGAUGGUGUCAGUCAGGCGCAUGCCUUUCUGACCAAUGUUAAGGAAGGGAUGGGGAUGCGUCCCAUUAGCUUGUUGGCGGGGUAACGCCCACCAAGGCUCCGAUGGGUAGGGGUUCUGAGAGGAAGGUCCCCCACACUGGAACUGAGACACGGUCCAGACUCCUACGGGAGGCAGCAGUGAGGAAUAUUGGUCAAUGGAGGCAACUCUGAACCAGCCAAGUAGCGUGAGGGAAGACUGCCCUACGGGUUGUAAACCUCUUUUGUCGGGGAAUAAACCGCAUCACGUGUGAUGCUCUGCAUGUACCCGCAGAAUAAGGACCGGCUAAUUCCGUG
rnacentral:rRNA from 1 species